rnacentral:rRNA from 1 species
GCGCCAGACUCCUACGGGAGGCAGCAGUGGGGAAUAUUGCACAAUGGGGGAAACCCUGAUGCAGCGACGCCGCGUGAGCGAUGAAGUAUUUCGGUAUGUAAAGCUCUAUCAGCAGGGAAGAAAAUGACGGUACCUGACUAAGAAGCCCCGGCUAACUACGUGCCAGCAGCCGCGGUAAUACGUAGGGGGCAAGCGUUAUCCGGAUUUACUGGGUGUAAAGGGAGCGUAGACGGCGGUGCAAGCCAGAUGUGAAAGCCCGGGGCUCAACCCCGGGACUGCAUUUGGAACUGUGCUGCUAGAGUGUCGGAGAGGCAGGCGGAAUUCCUAGUGUAGCGGUGAAAUGCGUAGAUAUCAGGAGGAACACCGGUGGCGAAGGCGGCCUGCUGGACUGCGACUGACGUUGAGGCCCGAAAGCGUGGGGAGCAAACAGGAUUAGAUACCCCCGUACA